ACAGCAGGCCACCUUAUCGCUAUUCGCUUUGUGCUAAUAGAGGAAAGUCCGGACACCAUAGUGCAGUAUAGCGGGUAACUCCCGUCAUUGCGGCUUUGCCGCGAGAGGACCAGUGCAACAGAAAGCAAGUACAGUUCGGCUGUAGUGAAAUCAGGUAAACUCUAUACGGUGCAACGCCAUGUAAAUCAGUGUUUGAGGGCUGCACGCCCAAACUGAAGGGUAGGCGGAUUGAGUCUUAGAGUAAUCUAAGACCGAGAUAAAUGAUAAGGACAACACUUCGGUGUUGGACAGAAUCCGGCUUAUGGCCUGCUUUUUUA
rnacentral:RNase_P_RNA from 1 species